CCGGCCCAUGAAAUCUGUGGUCAAGACCUUUGUGCUGGGGAGAUAGCUGAGCUGGUAAUGUGCUUGGUGAAUCCAAGAGCCUCUGAUCCCCAGAACCCAAGUAAAAAAGCUGGGCGUGGUGGCCUGUGACAGGCAGGCAGAUCCCCAGGGUUCACUGGCCCCUGGUAUAAUCUACUUGGUGAGAGGAUGAGUCUCACAAGCAAGGUGGACAGCACUUGAGGGAAAAUACCUGUGACACACAGGCAAAAAAGAAGUCCUUAGAUGUUAAUUGAAGUAGGAUUUUUAGCUUCUCUUCCUGUCCACUAGAAGGCGCGAUCCUUCAUCGGAUGCUCUUUGCAAUGGCCAGCGGGUACUACAAAGCCCAGGGUUCAUUCUAAGCCAAGACUUUUUUCAGCGGAGAGCUGUGUAGGAGGUGCAGCUGCAGGGAAAGUUUACUCCUCAUGGAGUAGUUAGCCUGUGUGAGAAGCCUUUCUUCGGAUGUUGACGAAUAUGCCCACUGAGAGGACCCCCAGCCUUUGCCUGGGGAAUGACAGGAGUGAGACACACGCUGACAGGAAAGCAUUCCAUGAAGGUGACAGGAGAAUCUUCUUGUUGCAUGAACAAAACCACAAGGUGCAUCUCAGGCGGCUGUUGAUGGAACGGGAAGGCUCCCUCUCACGUGGCUGUUGGGAAGAUUUGAGUCAGGCAAACCACAGAAGCCAUAGCGUGGUCUAGCCAGUGGGUCCUGAACUUGAGUGCAGCCUCCAAGAAAGCCAGCACACAGACCCUUUGAGGAGCUCUUACAAGAAUGGGACCCCCCCAGCUGACCCUCCAACCUGCCACCUCCCUCUUCAGACGCUCGCCCACCCCAGUCUUUCCAGGCCUUCUCAUUCUUCUUCAUGAAGCCGUUUCUUUUCUUUCUUUUUUUUUUUAAUUUUAUUUAUUUAUUAUGUAUACAGCAUUCUGCUUCCAUGUAUAUCUGCACACCAGAAGAGGGCACCAGAUCUCAUAACGGAUGGUUGUGAGCCACCAUGUGGUUGCUGGGAAUUGAACUCAGGACCUCUGGAAGAGCAGCCAGUGCUCUUAACCUCUGAGCCCUCUCUCCAGCUCCGAUGACGUUUCUUUCCAGGCUGAGCUUAGUGGGUGUGCACCUGCAAUUUUCCUGUACACAGCAAAUUGGGGACCAGCCCAGCUACAUCUGACCUGUCUCAAAAACAAACAGGUAGGGGGGUGUUGAAGAUGGCUCCAUGAGCAGUCACCAAGCUGAGGACCUGAGUUUGAUUCCUGGGAUCCAUAUGGUAGAAGAGAACCAACUCCUGCAAGUUGCCCGCUGAUCCCUGCACAUGUAUGUGGCACUCAUGAGUGUGCUCUUGCACAUGUGUACAUAUAUAUACAAGAUAAAUGUUGAUUUUUUUUUUAAAUUUACUUUCCACCUAAACCCAGAGGCACCAACCCUGGGUUUUUUGGUUUUUUAUUGGGGAGGGGUGGUUUUCAAAACAGAGUUUCUCUGUAUGGCUUUGGAGGCUGUCCUGGAACUUGCUCUGUAGACCAGGCUGGCCUCGAACUCAUAGAGACCCAUCUGCCUCUGCCUCCUGAGUGUCAGGAUUAAAGGUCUAUGCCACUACUGCCCAGCCUAGAAUUUUCAUUCUUUGGGGUGGGGAGGCAUCGUGAGUGCUGGGGACAGAUUCUGGGACCUUGCACAUCCUAGGCACGUGCCCUGCCUGUCUAAGCAUGCCCCAACCUUGUUUGUUUUCAGACACUACAGGAAAGGGGCCGAAUUCUAUUGUGUGGUGACCCCUACCCAGGGGUCAGGCAGCCUUCGGCUGGGGUCUGAGACUCCACAGCUCUGUAGCACAAGCGGGGAUCAGAGCUGGGACGAGGCCAAAGGCAAAGGCAACCAGGAGAAGCAGAGUGGCUUUUCUCUGUGAAGGUCAAAUCCCAGGAGCUCAGGCUGGACUCAGCUUUUAGCUCUCAUUACUCUGAAGGUCAGAUAACAACUUAUCUUUGGCCUGGUGACAGGGAAACCAGUGUAGGUGACUUGGGUUUGGUCUGGUCCUUUGGAGCAGAACACCUCAGGCAGACCAAUGGUGUCCCUCUGUCUCCCUUGCUGGAAGGAAAGCAAUCCUGUGACAGCCAGAGCUGGGGCCUCAUCCAGGGCAUCCUCCCUCCUCCCUCCCUCCUCCCUCUCCCUCCCUCCCUCCCUCCCUCUCUCCCUAUUUCCCUCUCUCUCCCCUUCUCCUUGUGUCCUCCAGGGCCUGUAUCUUGUGAGCUUCCUUGCCUCCUCCUAGGGAGUCCUGCAGCUUGUCUUGGCCCUGAUGGCUUCUGAUGCUGGUUCCCCCUUGUCCUCUGUGGCUACACUAUCCUCUGUCUCUUAGCUGACUAACCUUCCCUAUGGCAGAGUUCUUUUUGCGACCCUUCCUCUGUUGGCGCCCAAACUCUGAGCCUCCCAAAUCACCAAGAGACCCAAUCCAAUGCAAAAACAAAGUCUUUUGUUUUCCGAGUUAACUUGGGUUCCCAGGUCCAGUCCCUCCUGCUUCACCUCUGAGUUAACUCAUAA
ensembl:lncRNA